GAGUGCAGCCUCACUUAAAGAAAUGUUUCGAGGGUAUUGCCAGUCUGCAGUUCACAGAUGUACUUGAUAUAACUCACCUGAAGAGUUCAGAAGGUGAAGUGGUCGAACUUAAGGAUGUCAUUUCUACAGCGAAGGCCAGAGGUCAGGUCGAGAAAUGGCUG